CUAGCGAACGCCGCCUUCUUCACCUCCACUUUUCCUUUGACUACCUCGUUCCACCACCAAUCACCCUGAUGUCUGCCUGAAUAACCCUUAGCUACCCCGAGCACGUCCCGUGCUACCCCCCUAACCAAGUUCGCCGUCAGUGUCCACAUAGCGUCCGCUUCCCCAAAACUUCUCCAAGCUCCGCCCUCAACUAACGUCCUUUCCAACUCCUGUGCUUUCUCCUUAGUCAAAGCA
rnacentral:lncRNA from 1 species